rnacentral:rRNA from 1 species
UACGAAGGGGGCUAGCGUUGCUCGGAAUCACUGGGCGUAAAGCGCACGUAGGCGGCUUUCUAAGUCAGGGGUGAAAUCCUGGAGCUCAACUCCAGAACUGCCUUUGAUACUGAUAGUCUUGAGUAUGGGAGAGGUGAGUGGAACUGCGAGUGUAGAGGUGAAAUUCGUAGAUAUUCGCAAGAACACCAGUGGCGAAGGCGGAUCUCUGGACAGUUACUGACACUGAGGCACGAAGGCCAGGGGAGCAAACGGGAUUAGAGUACCCC